rnacentral:sRNA from 1 species
UAGGCAGCAUCUGAGACUGAAGUUUUCUGCUUAUCCCCAGUACAGGUACUGCCAACUCAAGCUUCCCAACGCUGCCUCGUCAGUUUACCUCCACUGGCCUGGUGGGAGUAGCUUCAAGGGUGAAAGAGGAGUGCAGGCUCAGCCCAUUGAAUCCUUGGCCUCU